rnacentral:rRNA from 1 species
UGUGGUUUAAUUCGAUGACAACGCGAAGAACCUUACCUGGUCUUGACAUCCCGGAGACCCUUAGGAAACUAGGGGGUGCUUCCAUCUGGAAGAAUCUGGAGACAGGUGCUGCAUGGCUGUCGUCAGCUCGUGUCGUGAGAUGUUGGGUUAAGUCCCGCAACGAGCGCAACCCUGCCUUUAGUUGCCAGCAGUUCGGCUGGGCACUCUAAAGGGACUGCCGGUGUUAAACCGGAGGAAGGUGGGGAUGACGUCAAGUCCUCAUGGCCUUUAUGACCAGGGCUACACACGUACUACAAUGGCCGAUACAAAGGGCAGCGACACUGCGAGGUGAAGCCAAUCCCGUAAAAUCGGUCUCAGUCCGGAUUGGAGUCUGCAACUCGACUCCAUGAAGUUGGAAUCGCUAGUAAUCGUGGAUCAGCAUGCCACGGUGAAUACGUUCCCGGGCUU